UACGAAGGGUACAAGCGUUGUUCGGAAUUACUGGGCGUAAAGCGCGCGUAGGCGGACGCAUAAGUCGAUUGUGAAAUCCCUGGGCUUAACCUGGGAACUGCAGUCGAAACUGUGUGUCUUGAGUGCCUGAGAGGAUGGCGGAAUUCCCGGUGUAGUAGUGAAAUACGUAGAUAUCGGGAAGAACACCUGAGGCGAAGGCGGCUAUCUGGCGGUGCACUGACGCUGAGGCGCGAAAGCGUGGGGAGCAAACAGG
rnacentral:rRNA from 1 species